rnacentral:rRNA from 1 species
UACGGGGGGGGCAAGCGUUGUUCGGAAUUACUGGGCGUAAAGGGCGUGUAGGUGGCCAACUAAGUCCGACGUGAAAUCCCUCGGCCCAACCGAGGAACUGCGCCCGAUACUGCGUUGCUUGAGGACCAAAGGGGUGCAUGGAAUUUCCGGUGGAGCGGUGAAAUGCGUUGAUAUCGGAAGGAACGUCGGCGGCGAAAGCGGUGCACUGGUUGGUCUCUGACGCUGAGGUGCGAAAGCCAGGGGAGCAAACGGG